ACGCUCGACACCUACGGGAGGAGCAGUGGGGGAUAUUGCACAAUGGGGGAAACCCUGAUGCAGCGACGCCGCGUGAGUGAAGAAGUAUUUCGGUAUGUAAAGCUCUAUCAGCAGGGAAGAGAAUGACGGUACCUGAGUAAGAAGCCCCGGCUAACUACGUGCUAGCAGCCGCGGUAAUCUGAGCGGGCUGGCAAGGC
rnacentral:rRNA from 1 species